rnacentral:misc_RNA from 1 species
AAGUCGUAACAAGGUUUCCGUAGGUGAACCUGCGGAAGGAUCAUUAACAGGAAAAAGCAAAAAGCACAGUGCACCAACAGGGGAGACGACGCAUAAAGAAUAUUUUUUAGGGUUAUAAAAGUAAAAACAACUUUUGGCAACGGAUCUCUAGGCUCUC